UUAUUCUUGUGGGGACUAAACUAGGUGAUGCAUUCUUUCCCCGGAUUAUUUGUUGCUUCUGUGAAUGGAUAUUGCCAGGAGCCCGCUUCACUUAGUAUUGAAUUAUUUGUGGGGGUUUUUUUUGUCUAUUUAUCUAUUGUUUUUGAUGAACCAGGAAGCGAAGAAUGACAUUUAAGAGGUCUAAAGGCAAAAAGAAAAUGUUUUUUUUAAUAUUUUUCCUUUUUAUGCACAUCUGUCAUUCAAAUCCAUUGUAUAUACUUACAGAUCGACUUCAUUCAUAUGAAUGUGCUCAUGAGGAUACAUGCAUGGUGGUUUGAUAAGAAUCUGUUCAUAUCCCUUGCAGCCUUCUUUGACUUUCU
rnacentral:misc_RNA from 1 species